UUACAUGUUGUUAUUGUUAUUUUAGCAGGAUGAAUUGUUUUAAGGGAAAAAUGAGACUUUUUCCUUGAUGUUCUGGUUCUCGCUGUAGCGAGAAUGAAGUUCGCUACAGCGAGAAACUUUCUAUCUAUUUUGCUAACUUGUGGGUUUUUGCCAUAUAUCCCAUUUCUUUGGUACCUUAGUAGAGGAUGGAUUUUUGUAAAGUGAUUUGCUCAUGUGGGGUUUACAUGAGUAGUUUAAAGGAGCUAAAACAAUUGCCUAGUUUUGAGAAACUAAAUGCAUCAUGAUUUCGAUAAACAUUUCUUAUGGUAUGCUUGUUCCCAUCUUUUUCACUCACUGAGUAUUGUACUCACGUUUUAUAAAAAUUCAUGUUUUCAGAUCAGGUAAAUGUAGGACCCUAGAUCGAGGAGUCACCAUAGUACAUCUCCUGGGUAUGUGUCUGGCAUUCGAUAGUAAUCCCUUUUAUUGUAAAUGUCUCUGCUGGAAGUCAUGGGUCCUUUUGUAUUGUGAAUACAAUCUAAGAAUGUGAAUAUGUGUAUACAAUGUAAAUUGCUAAAUACAUGAUUGGUAUAGUGCAUGUAUAUUAUUAUCGAUAAUGCUAUAGUGUUUUGGCUAUGUUCACACCCGAGAAAAAGUGUGUUUGUAUGCAUGAUAUGAUAAAUUUGUUAAGCAAAGGUAAAUGGAUAGACUUGCUUGGGUUUAGUGAGCUAUGCUCAUUGAGCUCAUGCGUCGGUCAUAGCCCAGGAAAUUGGGUCAUGACAAAAGUGGUAUCAGAGCUCUAGGUUUGUCUAGGUCCUAGGGCUUCCAUUUGUUGGUCCAGCGGAGUGUCGGGUUUUUAUGUGGGAACUUCGAUUGUGAAGUGUGAACCGCGGUACAUUUUAUGACCAAGGGACCGCAUAGAUUCCCAAUCUUAGAAAUCACCUUAUCUCUUUAACUGUGGUUAAUGACAGGUGUUUGCUCUUGUUUGGGUAAGAAUGUCACCUAAGACACGGGCCACCUUAAGACAAGUGGGGGAGCAAGAUGCCCCUACUGAGAUGACUAAUAGGCCACGGGCACCCACUCGUAGGGGGCGAGGUAGACGUGGUAGGGUCGCUAGGCCUGUGAGAGCGAGUACGCCUGUGAAUAGGAGAAAAGAAUACUUGGUGGUACCCACUCCUUUAAAGGAGGUGUUUGUGACUGAAUAAGAAAAUAAAUCCUGCGUAGCUCGAAUCAAGGAUAAAAAUACCUUAGUGAAUUUAGUGGUGUUAGACACCUUAAGGAGCUUAAGGAUCAGUUGGAGGAUCCUUAUGGAAAGAAAGAAAAGAUGUUUACCAAAGGCACAGAUGAAAUGUUGAGGUAUGAAAAUAGAUUUUAUGUGCCGGAUAAUGAUGAAUUGAGGAGAGAGAUAUUGGAGGAGGCGCAUAUGGCAGCUAUGUGAUACAUUUAGGAGCUUGGCAACGAGGCUGAGUGAUACUGCUUGCCAAGUGCUCUGAUAGGUACCCUUUGUUGUUCGUCGCGGAAGGGAGAAAGGGCUGCCUUGAAGGGUGGUGCCACCCCUAGUAACAAUGUUGGUAUCAAGAUUUAAAGGAGGUGACGUGGGAAGCUGAGGAUGAGAUGCGGACAAGGCAUCCACACCUCUUCGAUAUGUAAAAGUAAGUCAGUCUACAUUGAAUUUAAAUUCAGGGAUCGAAUUUUUAUUAGUGGGGGAGAUUGUGAACCCUGUCAAGCUCGAUUAAAAGAUGAUAUUAUACCGAGUGGUACAACUAAGUUAAAUCGAGCCUUCAACUAGUUCAAAUAAAAAUUCUAAGAGGAAAUUGAAAAUUUUGAAACCCACAGAAUGAUUUAGAAUAGUGAUUCGGAGUUCAAGGUCCAGUUUGAAGUCCAUCAGGAAAAUUGACCGUUUAGGGAUAAAACGGUCAUUUUACUAUUUGAUGAUAAAAUGGAGACUUUUAGCCAAGAUUUGAUCACAUUUGACCAAGAGUAAUUAUAUGAAAUAUAAUUAUGAUUAUUGGAGUAUAAAAUGAUAUUUAGCAGUGAAAAAUAUUAUGAUUCCUGGUAUUUUUGGAGUACAAGGGUAAAAUGGUAAUUUUGCCACUAGAGGACUAAACGGGAAUUUUUAUAAAACGAGUUUGUUUGCCCCAUUUGGUUAAUAUUGAUUAAUGCUAGUGUUAUUUGAGGUUGAAAAGUAGAAAUAAUUUGAUUCCGGUACAUUUUGGAGUAUAGGGGUAAAAUCGUAAUUUUUUCACCCCGGGGGCAAAUCGGUAAAUUUUUUGACCCAGCACUUGUCAAGGUCAAGGGAUUUUAUUCAUCCUGUAAAUGGAUAAACAUGAGAAAUGUGUGGUGGAGAGAGAUUGCUUAAUGGCUAAGUAUGACACAUGGACCAAUGGAAUGGUGACAUGUGUCAAAAUCUCAUCCAUUCAUUAUUUUCUUUAUAAAAGGCAUAAAAAUCGGCCCAUUUCUCCCAUAGUGAUCAGCCAAACCAGAAGAUAAGAGAAACCAAGGAAGAACAAGCCCUAGGUGGGAAAAAUCAAAGAGAAAGUGUUGGAAUUCAAGGAAACAAGCUAGGUAAGUUCAAAUUUCUUUAAUUCUCCUUGAUACCUAGCUUACCCAUGCUUUUGUUCUUGAUUUUCAUAGUUGAAUAUUGAGUUAUCAUGAUGAAUUCAAUUCUGAAAAAAGGGUAUGGAAGAGGAAUUGUUGUUGGAAUAAUUUGAUUUUAUACUAUGUUAGUGUUUAGGGAUAGUUAAACAUGGUUAUGAACAAAAACACAAAAGAAAUAUUCAAUUUCUCUAGGGUUCCUUGUUGGUCGAACCAUGAGGGCUGAAUAUCAAGGGGGGAUUGUUUUUAUUUCAAGGAAAAUGGCUUGGAAAAUGAUGAAUUAAGGUGAAACGGUUAUAUAGAAAAAUUUUCGAUGCUAGUGCACCAAAUGACCGAAUUUUUCUAUAAGGAACUGUGAGGGUUCUAAUGCUGAACUUGACUUUAUUUAAAUGGUAUGUAGUAAAUUAAGGUAUUGAGGAGAAAUGGAUUAAUUUGGAGUGAAAUUGGAUGCAUUGGCCAAUUUAUCGGAUGAAAAUUUGACUUAGGCCAGUACCGAGUCUAGAUGGCUACCCGUGCAUUUUUCAUUUCAUAUCAUAUAUAUAUCGAGCCUAAAAUAGCCUCUGACUGUUAGACACAAUUUAAUUGGAAUAUGUGUAAUGGAUUAUGGCUAGGUGGUGAGCCAUUGGAUACAAGUAAAGGACUGUACUUGCGAACUGAAAAUAAGAGUAUUUCUACUCCUAAUACAGGUGAGUGGACUUGCAUUUCAAACUUGUUUUGGGGAAUAUGAAAGAUUCUAUCCAACUUGUCUUAGAAAAUGUACCUUGGGAACAAGCUUUUAGUAAAAUGAUUUUAUAUUGUGAAAAUGUGUUAUACAAUGAUUUAUGUGUUAUCACAAUAUGAUAAAAUGCAUGAUAUGCAUUGGAUGCAUCUUUGCAUGUUGAUUUGGACCCGGCUAUGUGCGAGUAGGAGUGCAUAUAAGCCGUUGCUGACCCGGCUAUGUGCUAGUAGGAGUGCAGAUAAGCCGUUGCUGACCCGACUAUGUGGAAGUGGGAGUACACAUAAGCCGUUGCUGACCCGGCUAUGUGCGAGUGGGAGCGCACAUAAGCCGUUGCUGACCCGACUAUGUGCGAGUGGGAGUGCACAUAAGCCGUUGCUGACCCGGCUAUGUGCGAGUGGGAGUGCACAUAAGCCGUUGCUAACCCGGCUAUAUGCGCAUAAGCCGUUGCAUAUGAGAUGAUGAUGAUGGGAUGGUGUGCAUGAUGAUGAUGAUGGGAUGGUGUGCACGUUGAUGAUGGGUAUAUGGUUGUAAAUGCAAAUAUGUAAGCAUUUGUUUUGUUGGAAUUUGUAAGUUUACAUGUGUUACAUGUUGUUAUUGUUAUUUUAGCAGGAUGACUUGUUUUAAGGGAAAAAUGAGACUUUUUUCUUGAUGUUUUGGUUCUCGCUGCAGCGAGAAUGAAGUUCGCUACAGCGAGAAACUUUCUGUCCAUGUUGCUAACUUGUGGGUUUUUGCCAUAUAUCCCAUUUCUUUGGUACCUUAGUUGAGCAUGGAUUUUUGUAAAGUGAUUUACUCAUGUGGGGUUUACAUGAGGGGUUUAAAGGAG
rnacentral:lncRNA from 1 species